GACUCUGUGGUGAAGUUCAUGUUGAGUUGCAAGCUCAUCGAUGUGUAUUGAGAGUACACCGGA
rnacentral:tRNA from 1 species